AUUGAACGCUGGCGGCAGGCUUAACACAUGCAAGUCGAACGAGUGGCGGACGGGUGAGUAAUGCAUGGGGAUCUGCCUGAUGGAGGGGGUUAACGACGGGAAACGGUAGCUAAUACCGCUUACCAUCAGAUGAACCCAAGUGGGAUUAGGUUGUAGGUGGGGUAAGGGCCAACCUAGGCGACGAUCGCUAGCUGGGCUGAGAGGAUGACCAGCCACACUGCGACUGCGACCCGGCCCGGACUCCUACGGGAGGCAGCAGUGGGGAAUAUUGCACAAUGGGGGCAAAGCUGAUGCAGCAAUGCCGCGUGAAUGAGGAAGGCCUUCGGGUUGUAAAGUUCUUUCAGUCACGAGGCGUUACUCACAGAAGAAGCACCGGCGAACUCCGUGCCAGCAGCCGCGGUAAUUC
rnacentral:rRNA from 1 species